GCGUCUGUAGCUCAGUAGGAUAGAGCCGAGGUUUCCUAAACCUUGUCUGCCGUGGGUUCGACUCCCUCCAGGCGCA
rnacentral:tRNA from 1 species